UCACAGCAGAAGACACAGAAAUCCUCCUCAUCAAAAACAUGACUUUGAUCUGCGUCCUCAUCUGGACUCUCCUCUGCUUCACUCAGGGAUCUGAUGGACAAAAUGUUGUUGUGACUCAAUCAGCAGCCAAAUCAGUGCAGCUUGGUCAGACUGUCACUAUUGACUGUAAGGCCAGUAGACAAGUAGCUUGUAACACACCCUGUCUGUCCUGGUACCAUCAAAAAUCUGGAGAAGUUCCUAAAGCUCUGAUCUACAGGACAUCAUCCAGAUUUUCAGGAAUCUCCUCCAGAUUCAGUGGAAGUGGAGCAAGAAAUAAAUUAGACUUCACUCUGACCAUCAGUGGAGUUCAGGCUGAAGAUGCAGGAGUUUAUUACUGUCAGAGUUAUCAUGACAUCAACAGUCAGGAUGUGUUCACACAGUGAAAAAUCAUCGUACAAAAACCUCCCUCAGUCUGACUGAACAGAAACUGAACUUUGUUCUGCAGCUGGAAUCUGCAUCAGACACUGAUACAGUUCACUGAACACAUCAGGCCAGAAAUUAUAUUUCCAUUAAACACAAGAACACAUUCAGUUAUGAUAUUCAGUUAUUAUAUUUUAAAAUAUUAUUUCAUUUAUAUUUUUAGAUGUUUGACACCUUAUUCUCCAAUUAAGUAAUGAAGUAACUUUGACUUUAGAAAGGUUUAAAAAUAUUUUCCACGUUUUAUUUUUAAACAAUCAUACAUGAA